rnacentral:rRNA from 1 species
CUGGCGGCGCGCCUAACACAUGCAAGUCGAACGAAGAUAACCGCAGCAAUGUGGUUGUCUUAGUGGCGGACGGGUGGAGUAACGCGUGAGGAACCUGCCUUUCGGAGGGGAAUAACACAUCGAAAGAUGUGCUAAUACCGCAUAACGUCAUCGGGUGGCAUCAUCUGAUGACCAAAGGAGCAAUCCGCCGAAAGAUGGCCUCGCGUCCGAUUAGAUAGUUGGUGAGGUAACGGCCCACCAAGUCUGCGAUCGGUAGCCGGACUGAGAGGUUGAACGGCCACAUUGGGACUGAGACACGGCCCAGACUCCUACGGGAGGCAGCAGUGGGGGAUAUUAGUCAAUGGAAGGAAACUCUGAACUAGCGACGCCGCGUGAGGGAAGAAGGUCUUCGGAUUGUAAACCUCUGUCUUCGGGGACGAUAAUGACGGUACCCGAGGAGGAAGCCCCGGCUAACUACGUGCCAGCAGCUGC